GGUUAAGCGACUAAGCGUACACGGUGGAUGCCUUGGCAGUCAGAGGCGAUGAAGGACGUGCUAAUCUGCGAUAAGCGUCGGUAAGGUGAUAUGAACCGUUAUAACCGGCGAUUUCCGAAUGGGGAAACCCAGUGUGAUUCGUCACACUAUCAUUAACUGAAUCCAUAGGUUAAUGAGGCGAACCGGGGGAACUGAAACAUCUAAGUACCCCGAGGAAAAGAAAUCAACCGAGAUUCCCCCAGUAGCGGCGAGCGAACGGGGAGGAGCCCAGAGCCUGAAUCAGUGUGUGUGUUAGUGGAAGCGUCUGGAAAGGCGCGCGAUACAGGGUGACAGCCCCGUACACAAAAAUGCACAUACUGUGAGCUCGAUGAGUAGGGCGGGACACGUGGUAUCCUGUCUGAAUAUGGGGGGACCAUCCUCCAAGGCUAAAUACUCCUGACUGACCGAUAGUGAACCAGUACCGUGAGGGAAAGGCGAAAAGAACCCCGGCGAGGGGAGUGAAAAAGAACCUGAAACCGUGUACGUACAAGCAGUGGGAGCACAGAGCAAUCUGUGUGACUGCGUACCUUUUGUAUAAUGGGUCAGCGACUUAUAUUCUGUAGCAAGGUUAACCGAAUAGGGGAGCCGAAGGGAAACCGAGUCUUAACCGGGCGUUAAGUUGCAGGGUAUAGACCCGAAACCCGGUGAUCUAGCCAUGGGCAGGUUGAAGGUUGGGUAACACUAACUGGAGGACCGAACCGACUAAUGUUGAAAAAUUAGCGGAUGACUUGUGGCUGGGGGUGAAAGGCCAAUCAAACCGGGAGAUAGCUGGUUCUCCCCGAAAGCUAUUUAGGUAGCGCCUCGUGAAUUCAUCUCCGGGGGUAGAGCACUGUUUCGGCAAGGGGGUCAUCCCGACUUACCAACCCGAUGCAAACUGCGAAUACCGGAGAAUGUUAUCACGGGAGACACACGGCGGGUGCUAACGUCCGUCGUGAAGAGGGAAACAACCCAGACCGCCAGCUAAGGUCCCAAAGUCAUGGUUAAGUGGGAAACGAUGUGGGAAGGCCCAGACAGCCAGGAUGUUGGCUUAGAAGCAGCCAUCAUUUAAAGAAAGCGUAAUAGCUCACUGGUCGAGUCGGCCUGCGCGGAAGAUGUAACGGGGCUAAACCAUGCACCGAAGCUGCGGCAGCGACACUGUGUGUUGUUGGGUAGGGGAGCGUUCUGUAAGCCUGUGAAGGUGUGCUGUGAGGCAUGCUGGAGGUAUCAGAAGUGCGAAUGCUGACAUAAGUAACGAUAAAGCGGGUGAAAAGCCCGCUCGCCGGAAGACCAAGGGUUCCUGUCCAACGUUAAUCGGGGCAGGGUGAGUCGACCCCUAAGGCGAGGCCGAAAGGCGUAGUCGAUGGGAAACAGGUUAAUAUUCCUGUACUUGGUGUUACUGCGAAGGGGGGACGGAGAAGGCUAUGUUGGCCGGGCGACGGUUGUCCCGGUUUAAGCGUGUAGGCUGGUUUUCCAGGCAAAUCCGGAAAAUCAAGGCUGAGGCGUGAUGACGAGGCACUACGGUGCUGAAGCAACAAAUGCCCUGCUUCCAGGAAAAGCCUCUAAGCAUCAGGUAACAUCAAAUCGUACCCCAAACCGACACAGGUGGUCAGGUAGAGAAUACCAAGGCGCUUGAGAGAACUCGGGUGAAGGAACUAGGCAAAAUGGUGCCGUAACUUCGGGAGAAGGCACGCUGAUAUGUAGGUGAAGUCCCUCGCGGAUGGAGCUGAAAUCAGUCGAAGAUACCAGCUGGCUGCAACUGUUUAUUAAAAACACAGCACUGUGCAAACACGAAAGUGGACGUAUACGGUGUGACGCCUGCCCGGUGCCGGAAGGUUAAUUGAUGGGGUCAGCGCAAGCGAAGCUCUUGAUCGAAGCCCCGGUAAACGGCGGCCGUAACUAUAACGGUCCUAAGGUAGCGAAAUUCCUUGUCGGGUAAGUUCCGACCUGCACGAAUGGCGUAAUGAUGGCCAGGCUGUCUCCACCCGAGACUCAGUGAAAUUGAACUCGCUGUGAAGAUGCAGUGUACCCGCGGCAAGACGGAAAGACCCCGUGAACCUUUACUAUAGCUUGACACUGAACAUUGAGCCUUGAUGUGUAGGAUAGGUGGGAGGCUUUGAAGUGUGGACGCCAGUCUGCAUGGAGCCGACCUUGAAAUACCACCCUUUAAUGUUUGAUGUUCUAACGUGGACCCGUGAUCCGGGUUGCGGACAGUGUCUGGUGGGUAGUUUGACUGGGGCGGUCUCCUCCUAAAGAGUAACGGAGGAGCACGAAGGUUGGCUAAUCCUGGUCGGACAUCAGGAGGUUAGUGCAAUGGCAUAAGCCAGCUUGACUGCGAGCGUGACGGCGCGAGCAGGUGCGAAAGCAGGUCAUAGUGAUCCGGUGGUUCUGAAUGGAAGGGCCAUCGCUCAACGGAUAAAAGGUACUCCGGGGAUAACAGGCUGAUACCGCCCAAGAGUUCAUAUCGACGGCGGUGUUUGGCACCUCGAUGUCGGCUCAUCACAUCCUGGGGCUGAAGUAGGUCCCAAGGGUAUGGCUGUUCGCCAUUUAAAGUGGUACGCGAGCUGGGUUUAGAACGUCGUGAGACAGUUCGGUCCCUAUCUGCCGUGGGCGCUGGAGAACUGAGGGGGGCUGCUCCUAGUACGAGAGGACCGGAGUGGACGCAUCACUGGUGUUCGGGUUGUCAUGCCAAUGGCACUGCCCGGUAGCUAAAUGCGGAAGAGAUAAGUGCUGAAAGCAUCUAAGCACGAAACUUGCCCCGAGAUGAGUUCUCCCUGACCCUUUAAGGGUCCUGAAGGAACGUUGAAGACGACGACGUUGAUAGGCCGGGUGUGUAAGCGCAGCGAUGCGUUGAGCUAACCGGUACUAAUGAACCGUGAGGCUUAACCUUACAACGCCGAAGGUGUUUUG
rnacentral:rRNA from 1 species